rnacentral:tRNA from 1 species
GGUAGAGCUCAGUGGUAGAGUGCUUGCCUAGCAUACACAAGACCCUGGGUUUGAUCCCCAGCACCA